UCGCCUGCUGAAUCCGAAAGGAAUCCUUUCAUUUGCAAGAAAGAACUUGUUGUCCGGUGCCCGUUUGCGUGCUUCCAUAGGGGACAGUGUGUCGGCAGAACGUGCAUCUGUAACAGAGGCUGGGAAGGAGAAGCGUGUGCCGACUUCCACUGUAGAGAUGUCAACAACUGUGGAGCUUUCGGAACUUGUGUUGGACCAAACAACUGUAGAUGUAAGUUCGGAUGGCAGGGGCGCGCAUGCUCUGUGAGCUACUGCAAUCGCUUCGACACGUGCAGAGCAUGCGCAAGAGAGACCGGAUGUGGAUGGUGUGAUUCGUCUCAGCAGUGCCUACCGGGUACCGGAAGUGGUCCAGAUACGGACUCCUGCUCCGCCUGGUUUUACUACGGCUGUUUGACCGCUGGGACCAUAGAGACAUGUUCGGAACAGAUUCAGAAAAUCGACUGUGAAAGGCGGCAGUGCAAUGACACCCUGCCUUCGUCCAGCAUAGCAACGUGCAGCAAAUGUCUGGA